rnacentral:misc_RNA from 1 species
CGAAAUGCGAUAAGUAAUGUGAAUUGCAGAAUUCAGUGAAUCAUCGAAUCUUUGAACGCACAUUGCGCCCGGCAGCAUUCUGCCGGGCAUGCCUGUUCGAGCGUCAUUUCAACCCUCGCGCUCCCUUUGGGGAGCACGGCGUUGGGGACCGGCACUGCGCCGACCCCGAAAUGGAGUGGCGGCCCGUCCGCGGCGACCUCUGCGUAGUAACCACACCUCGCACCGGGACCCCGACGUGGCCUGCCUCUAAACAGCCCACUUUCUGAACGUUGACCUCGGAUCAGGUAGGAAUACCCGCUGAACUUAAGC